GAUGAACGCUGGCGGCGUGCCUAAUACAUGCCAGUCGAGCGAACGGACGAGAAGCUUGCUUCUCUGAUGUUAGCGGCGGACGGGUGAGUAACACGUGGAUAACCUACCUAUAAGACUGGGAUAACUUCGGGAAACCGGAGCUAAUACCGGAUAAUAUUUUGAACCGCAUGGUUCAAAAGUGAAAGACGGUCUUGCUGUCACUUAUAGAUGGAUCCGCGCUGCAUUAGCUAGUUGGCAAGGUAACGGCUUACCAAGGCAACGAUGCAUAGCCGACCUGAGAGGGUGAUCGGCCACACUGGAACUGAGACACGGUCCAGACUCCUACGGGAGGCAGCAGUAGGGAAUCUUCCGCAAUGGGCGAAAGCCUGACGGAGCAACGCCGCGUGAGUGAUGAAGGUCUUCGGAUCGUAAAACUCUGUUAUUAGGGAAGAACAUAUGUGUAAGUAACUGUGCACAUCUUGACGGUACCUAAUCAGAAAGCCACGGCUAACUACGUG
rnacentral:rRNA from 1 species